CGGGCACGCGCCCGUAAAGACGCAUCCCGCUGGGAGGGCAGUCCGCUCCUUGCAUGGCCGCGAGCUUCGGCGCUCGACGCGGUUUCAUUGCUCCUCCCUAAGCGGCCUGGGAACGCCGGCGCCCAUAGGCGCAGGCCGUGCGGGAUGCCAUCAUGAAUAGCGAUGAGC
rnacentral:sRNA from 12 species